GACAGAGGGUGCGAACGUUGUUCGGAAUUACUGGGCGUAAAGCGCAUGUAGGCGGCAGCGCAAGUCGGGCGUGAAAUCCCACGGCUCAACCGUGGAAGUGCACUCGAAACUGCGCAGCUAGAGUCCUGGAGAGGAAGGUGGAAUGCUUGGUGUAGAGGUGAAAUUCGUAGAUAUCAAGCGGAACACCGGUGGCGAAGGCGGCCUUCUGGACAGUGACUGACGCUGAGACGCGAAAGCGUGGGGAGCGAACAGG
rnacentral:rRNA from 1 species